AAACACUCAGAAAAGUGAGAGGGCGGCAAUUUGAUCUUUGCGAUAAAACCAAAUUAUCAAGAAGUCCAAUGCACAUUAAAUGCAGCUUAGUUCCUUCACCUAUUUACUGCACUUAUUACUCAACCAAACACCAAAACACGCCCAUUCUGCAGAAUAGGCCUGCUUCUUUGACAAUGCAAGGGGAUCCCUCCUCCUCACUUAGUUUGAAACCAAAAAUCACCUCAAUGCCUAAGAUUUAUCUUCUUAAAGACCCACAUCCAACCAUCAGACUAGUACCCACGUCUAAGUGUCAGGUCCGGAUGCUUAAUGCUAAACGAAAGUGACAGGGAAAUAUAGUCCAUUUCAGAACAUGGGACGAUUAAAACAAUCAUUUUCAAAUGUGCUCCCCAGCCUUUCCAGCUCAAACCUGCCUUCCAAAAGGAAGAGCACCUCAAAAUUUUCUUCCCCAACUCAAGUUGCAAAAGUGCUCACCAUUUACUAAAACAACUAAUUUUACAACUAUAAAUGUACAACACCAAACACUUAAGUGUCCGAUUACAAUCUUACUUUCAAUUUUAAAGGCUAAGCAUAAACAAACUAUUGUGACACAUCAUAAAUUACCAAAGUAAAAUUGCUGAGGAUUCUAGUUUCAAAGUUUUAUAGAUUAUUAUUUUAUUAAAAAGAAUUU
rnacentral:lncRNA from 1 species